UACGUAGGGCGCAAGCGUUGUCCGGAAUUAUUGGGCGUAAAGAGCUCGUAGGCGGCCAGUUGCGUCCGCUGUGAAAUCCUGGGGCUUAACCCCGGGCGUGCAGUGGAUACGGGCUGGCUAGAGGCAGGCAGGGGAGAACGGAAUUCCCGGUGUAGCGGUGAAAUGCGCAGAUAUCGGGAGGAACACCGGUGGCGAAGGCGGUUCUCUGGGGCCUGUACUGACGCUGAGGAGCGAAAGCG
rnacentral:rRNA from 1 species